GAGCAUCCAGUAUCCAAGCAAAUGCAAGGAUGGUUCAAGGGUGGGGUCAAGUGAGCUAUCGGUGGGCAGAAAGGCGAGGACCGGAUUAGGUGGCCAUUGAGUUGGAUUUUGUUUUGCUUGUUUUUCAAUGCACGAAUGAAGUCCUUGAACACUUCCACCUUCCUUUCCAGAAACUUGGAUUAAUUCCUAUGAUCCUGGCCCCGAAUUUGAUUGUUUUCAUUUGUCAUAAAUGCAAUUUACAGGAAGUUUUAAAAGCCUGAAGCUCUGGCCUGGCCCAGCGUAGUAUAGAAGGAAAGCUGUGCAGUAAAGUUUGAAUGGACUUCACCCUUAGGGGGACAGGAUGAUGUGGUGGCUGUUGCUGAAGAACAAGAGCAAAUCUUUUGCCAGUAUUCCAGAAUGGCCUCCUCGUCCUUGCUGUGUGCAUCCUGCUCCUGGCCCGGCAUCUCACACCCAGCUAGAUUUGGUCAGCUGUAAGAGAGCCAAGGACCAUGGGAGGUCAGAGCUCUGCACAGCCAGACUGUUAGGAACCCAGCUGGUGUCUCCCUAUCAGUGAUGUUUUACAUAUCACCAGUCUCAUGCUUUUACAAAUCAAUCUACCAACAAGGACUUGUUGAGCACCUUCUGUGGGACCAGCUGCGUGCCAGGUGACUGGAGGGCAGUAACCAGAUAGCCAU
rnacentral:lncRNA from 1 species